GGGUCCUCAUCGUUCAGCUUAAUGAGAAAAAUCUUUGUGCAGAAUUACAGGCGGACCUUGGAUCUUCUUCUCUGUUCUGUAAUCCCUGCUCUGUCAUCAGGAUUACAGCUCACUGCUGUACAGGAUUAAUGACUGACAACUCUACACUCCUCACACAGAGCCAAGGAAGGGAGAUGGGGAAAGGCCUCUUGGAUGUGUGGUCGUCAAGCAGCUGUGGCUUAAUUUUGUGAGACGAGCCCCGGAGCGUACAGGACAAGUGGGUUUGCAAAGCCAUCUGGGGGACCAUGAUGCACUGCUUCUGCAUCUUCUUGUGUUGGGUUGCAUAAUGUUUCGGGUCCUGCAUCGCUUGAGGUCAACAGGCGUUUCAUCCCAAUAGAUGUAUUGGCAUGCAGAACAGUUGUUCGUUGAAACACCAUUGUGUCACAACCACAGUCUUACUAAAGUUCAAGUGAUUAUUCACUCAUAAUAUAUGCCACCCAGCGCAUACUUUUCCAUUGCGACUUGCAAUAAAGUAAGUACUAGUGCUAUAGGUGCUAUAUACUUGUGUUCAUCCUGUUAAAAGUCAAUGAGAGCAUAAAGGACAUAAAGCAAACAAAUUGUGGUAAAA